rnacentral:rRNA from 1 species
CCUGGCUCACGUUGAACGCUAGCUACAGGCUUAACACAUGCAAGUCGAGGGGCAGCAUUUUAGUUUGUUUGCAAACUAAAGAUGGCGACCGGCGCACGGGUGAGUAACACGUAUCCAACCUGCCGAUAACUCGGGGAUAGCCUUUCGAAAGAAAGAUUAAUAUCCGAUAGUAUAUUAAAACCGCAUGGUUUUACUAUUAAAGAAUUUCGGUUAUCGAUGGGGAUGCGUUCCAUUAGUUUGUUGGCGGGGUAACGGCCCACCAAGACUACGAUGGAUAGGGGUUCUGAGAGGAAGGUCCCCCACAUUGGAACUGAGACACGGUCCAAACUCCUACGGGAGGCAGCAGUGAGGAAUAUUGGUCAAUGGACGAGAGUCUGAACCAGCCAAGUAGCGUGAAGGAUGACUGCCCUAUGGGUUGUAAACUUCUUUUAUAUGGGAAUAAAGUUUUCCACGUGUGGGAUUUUGUAUGUACCAUAUGAAUAAGGAUCGGCUAACUCCGUGCCAGCAGCCGCGGUAAUACGGAGGAUCCGAGCGUUAUCCGGAUUUAUUGGGUUUAAAGGGAGCGUAGGUGGAUUGUUAAGUCAGUUGUGAAAGUUUGCGGCUCAACCGUAAAAUUGCAGUUGAAACUGGCAGUCUUGAGUACAGUAGAGGUGGGCGGAAUUCGUGGUGUAGCGGUGAAAUGCUUAGAUAUCACGAAGAACUCCGAUUGCGAAGCAGCUCACUAGACUGCAACUGACACUGAUGCUCGAAAGUGUGGGUAUCAAACAGGAUUAGAUACCCUGGUAGUCCACACAGUAAACGAUGAAUACUCGCUGUUUGCGAUAUACAGUAAGCGGCCAAGCGAAAGCAUUAAGUAUUCCACCUGGGGAGUACGCCGGCAACGGUGAAACUCAAAGGAAUUGACGGGGGCCCGCACAAGCGGAGGAACAUGUGGUUUAAUUCGAUGAUACGCGAGGAACCUUACCCGGGCUUAAAUUGCAUUUGAAUAAUCUGGAAACAGGUUAGCCGCAAGGCAAAUGUGAAGGUGCUGCAUGGUUGUCGUCAGCUCGUGCCGUGAGGUGUCGGCUUAAGUGCCAUAACGAGCGCAACCCUUAUCUUUAGUUACUAACAGGUGAUGCUGAGGACUCUAGAGAGACUGCCGUCGUAAGAUGUGAGGAAGGUGGGGAUGACGUCAAAUCAGCACGGCCCUUACGUCCGGGGCUACACACGUGUUACAAUGGGGGGUACAGAAGGCAGCUACCUGGCGACAGGAUGCUAAUCCCAAAAACCUCUCUCAGUUCGGAUCGAAGUCUGCAACCCGACUUCGUGAAGCUGGAUUCGCUAGUAAUCGCGCAUCAGCCAUGGCGCGGUGAAUACGUUCCCGGGCCUUGUACACACCGCC